UACAGGCUUAACACAUGCAAGUCGAGGGGCAGCAUGGUCUUAGCUUGCUAAGGCCGAUGGCGACCGGCGCACGGGUGAGUAACACGUAUCCAACCUGCCGUCUACUCUUGGACAGCCUUCUGAAAGGAAGAUUAAUACAAGAUGGCAUCAUGAGUCCGCAUGUUCACAUGAUUAAAGGUAUUCCGGUAGACGAUGGGGAUGCGUUCCAUUAGAUAGUAGGCGGGGUAACGGCCCACCUAGUCUUCGAUGGAUAGGGGUUCUGAGAGGAAGGUCCCCCACAUUGGAACUGAGACACGGUCCAAACUCCUACGGGAGGCAGCAGUGAGGAAUAUUGGUCAAUGGGCGAGAGCCUGAACCAGCCAAGUAGCGUGAAGGAUGACUGCCCUAUGGGUUGUAAACUUCUUUUAUAAAGGAAUAAAGUCGGGUAUGGAUACCCGUUUGCAUGUACUUUAUGAAUAAGGAUCGGCUAACUCCGUGCCAGCAGCCGCGGUAAUACGGAGGAUCCGAGCGUUAUCCGGAUUUAUUGGGUUUAAAGGGAGCGUAGAUGGAUGUUUAAGUCAGUUGUGAAAGUUUGCGGCUCAACCGUAAAAUUGCAGUUGAUACUGGAUAUCUUGAGUGCAGUUGAGGCAGGCGGAAUUCGUGGUGUAGCGGUGAAAUGCUUAGAUAUCACGAAGAACUCCGAUCGCGAAGGCAGCCUGCUAAGCUGCAACUGACAUUGAGGCUCGAAAGUGUGGGUAUCAAACAGGAUUAGAUACCCUGGUAGUCCACACGGUAAACGAUGAAUACUCGCUGUUUGCGAUAUACUGCAAGCGGCCAAGCGAAAGCGUUAAGUAUUCCACCUGGGGAGUACGCCGGCAACGGUGAAACUCAAAGGAAUUGACGGGGGCCCGCACAAGCGGAGGAACAUGUGGUUUAAUUCGAUGAUACGCGAGGAACCUUACCCGGGCUUAAAUUGCAGAUGAAUUACGGUGAAAGCCGUAAGCCGCAAGGCAUCUGUGAAGGUGCUGCAUGGUUGUCGUCAGCUCGUGCCGUGAGGUGUCGGCUUAAGUGUCAUAACGAGCGCAACCCUUGUUGUCAGUUACUAACAGGUUCCGCUGAGGACUCUGACAAGACUGCCAUCGUAAGAUGUGAGGAAGGUGGGGAUGACGUCAAAUCAGCACGGCCCUUACGUCCGGGGCUACACACGUGUUACAAUGGGGGGUACAGAGGGCCGCUACCACGCGAGUGGAUGCCAAUCCCCAAAACCUCUCUCAGUUCGGACUGGAGUCUGCAACCCGACUCCACGAAGCUGGAUUCGCUAGUAAUCGCGCAUCAGCCACGGCGCGGUGAAUACGUUCCCGGGCCUUGUACACACCGCCCGUCAAGCCAUGGGAGCCGGGGGUACCUGAAGUGCGUAACCGCGAGGAGCGCCCUAGGGUAAAACUGGUGACUGGGGCUAAGUCAUAACA
rnacentral:rRNA from 1 species